rnacentral:rRNA from 1 species
UACAGAGGUGCCAAGCGUUAGGCGGAAUCACUGGGCUUAAAGCGCGUGUAGGCGGGUCGUUAAGUGUCCGAGUGAAAUCCCACGGCUCAACCGUGGAACUGCCGGGCAUACUGGCGAUCUUGAGGCAUUCAGGGGCGAGCGGAACAAAUGGUGGAGCGGUGAAAUGCGUAGAUAUGUGGAGGAACACCGAUGGCGAAGGCAGCCCCCUGGGUCAAAACUGACGCUCAUGCACGAAAGCGUGGGGAGCAAACAGG